GCAAGUCGAACGGUAACAGGAAGCAGCUUGCUGCUUUGCUGACGAGUGGCGGACGGGUGAGUAAUGUCUGGGAAACUGCCUGAUGGAGGGGGAUAACUACUGGAAACGGUAGCUAAUACCGCAUAACGUCGCAAGACCAAAGAGGGGGACCUUCGGGCCUCUUGCCAUCGGAUGUGCCCAGAUGGGAUUAGCUAGUAGGUGGGGUAAAGGCUCACCUAGGCGACGAUCCCUAGCUGGUCUGAGAGGAUGACCAGCCACACUGGAACUGAGACACGGUCCAGACUCCUACGGGAGGCAGCAGUGGGGAAUAUUGCACAAUGGGCGCAAGCCUGAUGCAGCCAUGCCGCGUGUAUGAAGAAGGCCUUCGGGUUGUAAAGUACUUUCAGCGGGGAGGAAGGGAGUAAAGUUAAUACCUUUGCUCAUUGACGUUACCCGCAGAAGAAGCACCGGCUAACUCCGUGCCAGCAGCCGCGGUAAUACGGAGGGUGCAAGCGUUAAUCGGAAUUACUGGGCGUAAAGCGCACGCAGGCGGUUUGUUAAGUCAGAUGUGAAAUCCCCGGGCUCAACCUGGGAGCUGCAUCUGAUACUGGCAAGCUUGAGUCUCGUAGAGGGGGGUAGAAUUCCAGGUGUAGCGGUGAAAUGCGUAGAGAUCUGGAGGAAUACCGGUGGCGAAGGCGGCCCCCUGGACGAAGACUGACGCUCA
rnacentral:rRNA from 1 species